UACGUAGGGCGCGAGCGUUUGUCCGGAAUCAUUGGGCGUAAAGAGCUCGUAGGCGGCCUGUCGCGUCUGCUGUGAAAUCCCGGGGCUUAACCCCGGGCGUGCAGUGGAUACGGGCUGGCUGGAGGCAGGCAGGGGAGAACGGAAUUCCCGGUGUAGCGGUGGAAAUGCGCAGAUACCAGGAGGAACACCGGUGGCGAAGGCGGUUUCCUGGCCGAGUACUGACGCUGAGGCACGAAAGCGUGGGGAGCGAACAGGG
rnacentral:rRNA from 1 species